rnacentral:misc_RNA from 1 species
GCGAACUAUUUGAUUGGUGUCUGUCGUGUCCAUUUGGUUUAACGUGAAGCACACAAAUCAGUGUAGCGAACGUUUUGUUUUCGCUCGGUCUGGCUGAACUCAGCCCUUGGGAUAACCUGUACCACAUGACCAGCACAAGCCCGCCGACAAUUAAAACGGUGCGAUCAAUGGACCUCAAAGUGAACAUCUAAAGAAUUGCAGAGAUACCAAAUGGAAGUGUGAUAAUGUGUGACUGAUGAUGGAUGGACAGAACAGUUCUGAUGAAGAACAGGAGGUGGAUGAUUAUCCUGGCGUGCAGGAAACAGGAAUUCCUGCCCAAAACUACCUUGAUGCUUUAUGGCAGCAAGGUGGACUUGAAGAUCGACCCGUUGGUAUUUUUUACCGACUUCAUCAUGACUCCUCUAACAUUAAUCUCCAUGAUGAAGUAGAUUUACAUGAAAGUCAUCAACGAAGAUGGACCGAGACACAGGAGCCUGCAAUGGAGAUAAGUCUUCGUCAACAGAGGAGGUUACAACUGGAAGAAGAGACCUCUCCAAAAAGUCUCCAGCAGGUGUCACAGGUGGAGUUGACACGUGUCAAUGUGGACCGUCCACCUCCGGCCCAGUCAUCACUGAGACAACGAGAACCCGGAGACCAGGAUGAAUCUUCAGGCUAUGCGACAGGUGGUAUAUCCAGUGCAGAGAUAAACAAUGUAGAUCUACAAGAGGUGCAGACACUGAGAAAACUGUCUGAACAUGAGGACUCUGAAGAGAUUAUGGACAGCAACAGUGAUUCUAAUGAUAGAAACAGUGAUUCUGAUGAUAAAGAAGAGAGUUAAGAAGGAUCAGUGACAGCCAGGCACCAGUGGGACAAGUCGACACGACCUCCAGGAACCUCCAGAUCAACAACAUGAUGGCAAAUGAAUGGGACGGUGCGAUUGCAAACAAGCUUCAUGAUAUCAAGCCAGUCUUGAGAGAGGGGCAGUCCUCCUAUAGACAGUGCAGGAAGGAUGAAAUAGUCUUGUCUCAUGCUCGCAUCUGCCAUACUUACUUGACCCAAUUCAUUUAUCUUUAAGA